UAAGCAGCGAUCAGCGAAUGAGUCGACCUUCUACGCCUUCUACACUGUGACAAAAUUGGACGAACAGUUGCGCUGCUAAAACAAAACAAACAAACAAUAAAAAGAAAACAGUAAUCGUUGGCAUCUUUCCAAAGUCCCUCUUCAAUCAUGAGUGAAGAAAAAAAUGUUCUACAGUACAAUGACGAAUAUUUCGCCAGAGAUUUUCUUGCUCUAUGCAAAAUCUAUUUUUGGAGUGAGGAAAAUGAGAAGAAAAAUAUAAACUUAUCAAACAGUGAACAUUUAAAAGUGAUUCGGGAACAAGCAUUUGGCUUGACGGGAGCUGUGACUGAAGCGACGCUGCAAUCUUUGGGUUGUUUUCUUCGCAAUAACACAGGAUUAGACUUGCAUACGACGGAUCUCCUGUCACAUUCUCCUCUUUUGUGCGGGCGAUAUUUACUUGUAUAUUAUUAUGCAAAACAUCCAAAUGUUAAGGCAAAGUCGAUUGGGAACAUUGGGGUUUCAACGGUAGAUAAGUUUCUGGAAUGGCUGCUUCGUGAUUUUUUGGACGGCGAGAGUGAACACGAGGAUAUUCUCGCGGACCACCUGAGAAGUCUUUAUCGGAUUGGAAAAACUAACAAUUUGCUCACCCUGAAAUACAUUGCAGAGAACAGGAUCACCAUAGGCGAGUUGGAAAGUGCAACAAGAACAUUUUUAAAUUACUUCCUCUUUACUUUCUACGAGUUGUAUUCGUUUGAGGAAGAGCAUGCUCACUAUGCUAUAAAGGAAGAAAUUGUUUUCCCGGAUGAGAGUCCCAUCAACAUGGUCCCUGGAUUGCCAGAACCACUUCCGGUGGAAGUGUCUAGGGAACCAAGGGAUUUUAGAACUUUGGUCAACGAAUUGGACCAGGCCGGAAGGCAGCGCUACAUAUCCAGUAAGCGAGGCAAGGAGCCGUCGCCACCAACUGCUCCUAGAAAAAAGAGAGGACUGGAAGAUGGACAUUCAUUUUUGGCUACAGUUUGGUGUAAAUGUAGUACAUCAUUACAAGGAAGGAUAUGAGGAAUUAUCGACUAUUGGGUGUCGAUUGGACACAGAAUGGGAGGAUUUAAAAACAUACAAUCCAUAUCAAAUCUUGUUAAUGAAGAUGAUAUUGGAUAAUAUGUCAGUCUCAGUUCACCUAUUAUCGAAAAUCGUCACAGUCGUUGGAGACGUCACAGUUGUCACAGUCGUCACGGGCGUUACAAUUGUCGAUACGUGUGUCGUUGUUGAAAAAUGGAAAAGUCGAGAUAAGAGGUAUUCCGACAUUUAAUAAUGCCCUAAAUAAGGACAAAUUAGAAGAAUUUCAAUAUGCAGCAAUGUUGUUCUUCCUUCCAGGAAUGUCGCUUCUUCAAAAAGAAGGAGAAGAAACAAUUAUUAAAGAGGACACAAAACCGGUUGUAAUAAAACAAGAUGGAACAAAAGCGACAUGCCAUGCGGGUAAGAAUUCCAACACACAGUUUCUAUUCAUGGUGGCUAUAUUAUAAAUUUUUUUAGGUCCUUCAUGUCCCUGCACGAAUAGGGAAAUGUUUCAAUUUUUAUAUGAUCGCGAUUUACAAUGUAAUUGCAUCACCCAAGUGCUGUCAUCUGUAAAUAGAAUGGGGGAAAAUCUUGUUUUAAAACAAGAAAAACCCCCAUUGGAAAAGCUCAUUUUGUAUUGCACCUCGGUUGCGUGUGGUUGCAAUGGCUCCUCCGAAAUGUUUGUCGUUGUUUCCCAUUACUAAUGUAGUGAAAUGUGAAUAUGUUACUAGGUUAAAAGUUUGCGGUUGGCGUAAAAGCAGUGGAAUUUCGUGGAUAAAUGAUCUUGAUGUUUAUGAGUGGUUUGCGGAAGACGAUAGUAAAGGAUUAGGAGAUGUCUUUAACAGUGAUUUGAGUGAUUUGAGUGAUGUGUCAGAGAGGUGGACGAUCAUGUUUAGCGAAGAAGAGAAACUUUAUACUGCUCUGAUGCAGAGAAAGGAGCAAUCAUUUAGAUUUUAUUAUAUAACUAAAUUAACGGAAUUCCUUUCAAAGAUGUAUUCUGUUAAACACACAGACAUCCUUUACUUCUUUUUAAGAUACCCGGAACUUUUUUUUGAGACCUCUUUUCGAGUCCUCGACAUUGACGAAUUUUUUAAUCUGUGGAACAUUCUACAUCAUUCAGAAAAAGUUCAAAAAAUUCUCAAGUUUUUUAUUAAUUUCAAGAGUUAUCCUAAUUUAAAAAAUCUACAAAAUUUUGUUGAACUGAAAUUAGCUACAGGAAGGCAGAUGACGAGAAACGUUUUUAACGAUAAUGUCGUUUGAAAUUUCUGUUUAUCUAUAACAGCUUGCAAAUUGAUUCUUUCAUUUGUGAGUAUUAAUUAUAAUUAUAAUUUUUUUUAAGUUGAACCUAUGACCCGCGUAAAAAGACAGACAAUUCAUUAAUAUUGAUUCCUUAUUUUUUUUACUGUUUAACAGUUUUUGCGAGGAAAUGGGGGAGACAGUCUGAAAGUUUUUCUUCAAUUCAGUCAAAAAGUAAUUUCUCAGUAUGACCACUUUCAGAGCAGUACUACAUACUUUCUCUUAUCUCAAGACAAAAUACUGCAUCCCAUUCUAAGUAAUCAUUUUCUAAGUAAUCCCUGUACGAUGAGGAAGCUUACACUUUCAUCAGGAAAAUCAUUACAUUCUAUCAGAAAAAUUUGAUUUUAAAAAGAGACGCCGAUCGUUCUAAACCCAUCGCCAAUAAUCUAGGAAUUGUUGAUAAUCUAGGAAUUUUUUUAUUUAUUUUUUUACAAAUAUUUGUUUAUCACUUUCAGAGCAGUACUACAUACUUUCUCUUAUCUCAAGACAAAAUACUGCAUCCCAUUCUAAGUCUUAAUAGUUAUCAAAUUGCUUUGUUGGAAGAAAUUCUUACUUCUCGUGUUAAAUCAGUUAUGGCGAUGAAUCAAAGGUCUCCACCCAGAGUGCAGUGGAUAAAGGAAGAAUUAAAUAGUUCCCUCUCUAUCAGUGAUCUAGAAGCUUUAUUAAAGUAAUGUAUACUCUAUUUUUCUGGCUCUACGUCCAAGGACUAACCUUAUGCCUUCACAAACAGAAAUGUGAAUAUUAUUUUCAAAAAGAACAAUGCCUCCUGAAGCGUCCCAUAAGGUCAGUCUUUUGACGUGGAGCCAAAAUAUUCCUUUGACACUAUGUCUUCAUGCUCCACAUCGGAGGGCCAAAUAUAUAUAUGGUCCUCCGAUGUGGAGCAUGAAGUCAGUGCCAGAAGAAUAUUUUAGGCUCUACAUCGGAGGACCAAAUAUAUAUUUGGUCCUCCGAUGUGGAGCCUGAAGACAUAGUGCCAAAGGAAUAUUUUUUGGCUCUACAUCCGAGGACCAAAUAUAUAUUUGGUCCUCCGAUGUAGAGCAUGAAGACAUAGUGCCAAAGGAAUAUUUAUUGGCUCCACGUCAGAGGACACAGGUUUUAACUUACAUUAUUUGUAUUCUUCUUAGGGGAGUGGAUGAUCCGGUAAUUAAACAAGAGAAAGCUAUUGACGAUUCAUAUAAAAUUAAUGUUCCCUUGGAAUCAUUGCUAAUAGACACGGAAAGGUUCUAUGGUACAUCGAAGCCUUAUGUCGU